rnacentral:rRNA from 2 species
GGGUUGUGAGGUUAAGCGACUAAGCGUACACGGUGGAUGCCCUGGCAGUCAGAGGCGAUGAAGGGCGUGCUAAUCUGCGAUAAGCGCCGGUAAGGUGAUAUGAACCGUUAUAACCGGCGAUACCCGAAUGGGGAAACCCAGUGUGACUCGUCACACUAUCAUUAACUGAAUCCAUAGGUUAAUGAGGCGAACCGGGGGAACUGAAACAUCUAAGUACCCCGAGGAAAAGAAAUCAACCGAGAUUCCCCCAGUAGCGGCGAGCGAACGGGGAGGAGCCCAGAGCCUGAAUCAGCAUGUGUGUUAGUGGAAGCGUCUGGAAAGGCGCGCGAUACAGGGUGACAGCCCCGUACACAAAAGCGCAUGUGCUGUGAGCUCGAUGAGUAGGGCGGGACACGUGAUAUCCUGUCUGAAUAUGGGGGGACCAUCCUCCAAGGCUAAAUACUCCUGACUGACCGAUAGUGAACCAGUACCGUGAGGGAAAGGCGAAAAGAACCCCGGCGAGGGGAGUGAAAAAGAACCUGAAACCGUGUACGUACAAGCAGUGGGAGCACCCUUUUGGGUGUGACUGCGUACCUUUUGUAUAAUGGGUCAGCGACUUAUAUUCUGUAGCAAGGUUAACCGAAUAGGGGAGCCG